rnacentral:tRNA from 1 species
GGAGAUAUAGCUUAGAAUAAAUGCUUUUGCCUGGUAUGCAUGAGGCCUUGGAUUCAAUUCCCAGUAUUUCAA